rnacentral:lncRNA from 1 species
AAAAUUUCACCUAGAUUUCCUUUCUACUAACAUCCACAGCCCGUAUGAAUCGCCUUUCUCACCUGUGCCAUCGACGACCUUGUUAUGAUUUUCUGGUGAAAUUUCAAGCGGUGGUGGUUCCUUUCUAGUGAUGCAUUCGGAUGCCCUAAAGGCACAAGCUUCUUUAACAUGUCCAUUAUCUUCCACAAUGAAAGCAAACCAUCGGUAAAAACUCAUAUUCAACCUUUUGUAUUCUGCCAUUAAUUAAAACUUGAAAAUCCAGUGGCCUAUCCAAAUUGACAUAGACCACCAUUCAGGCAAAACGGCCUAUUGCUUUGUUGUCGGUGUUCAUAUCCAAUUUGGUAACUUUCCCAAUCAUUCCCCCUAUUUCUACCAAAAUCUUCCAUUUGUACAAGUAUCC